rnacentral:rRNA from 1 species
GAUGAACGCUGGCGGCGUGCCUAAUACAUGCAAGUCGAGCGAACGGACGAGAAGCUUGCUUUUCUGAUGUUAGCGGCGGACGGGUGAGUAACACGUGGAUAACCUACCUAUAAGACUGGGAUAACUUCGGGAAACCGGAGCUAAUACCGGAUAAUAUUUUGAACCGCAUGGUUCAAAAGUGAAAGACGGUCUUGCUGUCACUUAUAGAUGGAUCCGCGCCGCAUUAGCUAGUUGGUAAGGUAACGGCUUACCAAGGCAACGAUGCAUAGCCGACCUGAGAGGGUGAUCGGCCACACUGGAACUGAGACACGGUCCAGACUCCUACGGGAGGCAGCAGUGGGGAAUCUUCCGCAAUGGGCGAAAGCCUGACGGAGCAACGCCGCGUGAGUGAUGAAGGUCUUCGGAUCGUAAAACUCUGUUAUUAGGGAAGAACAUAUGUGUAAGUAACUGUGCACAUCUUGACGGUACCUAAUCAGAGAGCCACGGCUAACUACGUG